GACGAACGCUGGCGGCGUGCUUAACACAUGCAAGUCGAACGGAGUGGCGAACGGGUGAGUACCACGUGGGUGACUUGCCCUGCACUUCGGGAUACUCCAGGGAAACUGGGUCUAAUACCGGAUAGUGUGGGAUGGGUCCGCGGCCUAUAAGCUUGUUGGUGGGGUAAUGGCCUACAAAGGCGGCGACGGGUAGCCGGCCUGAAUGGGUGGGCGGCCACAUUGGGACGGAGACACGGCCCAGAAUCCUGAGGGAGGAAGUAGUGGGGAAUAUUGCGCAAUGGGCGGAAACAUGAUGCAGCGACGCCGGGUGGGGGAUGGCGGCCUUCGGGUUGUAAGCUACUUUCACCAUCGACGCGAAAGAUGGAGAAGAAGCACCGGAAAGCUACGUGCCAGGAGCCACGAUAAUUC
rnacentral:rRNA from 1 species